GACGAACGCUGGCGGCGUGCUUAACACAUGCAAGUCGAACGGAAAGGCCCUGCUUUCGUGGGGUGCUCGAGUGGCGAACGUGUGUAUAACAUGGGAGUAACCUGCCCAUGACUUUGUGAUAACUGCAGAAAACUGCUGCUAAUACCGAAGAGGAGCGCCAGCUGCAGGGUGGGGGUUGGAAAGUUUGGUCGGUGGGGGAUGGACUGGGGGCUUAUCAGCUGGUGGGUGGGGUAGUGGCUUAGCAGGGCUUUGACGGGUAGCCGGCAUGAGAGGGUGAACGGGCACCUUAGGACUGCGAUAGGGCGCAGACUGCUACGGGAGGCAGCAGUCGGGAGUCUUGCCCAAUGGGGGGGAGCGUGAUGAAGAAGCGCUCGGUGUGGGAUGCAGGCUUUAGGGGUGUGAACCGCAUUCGCCUGUGACGAAGCGUGAGUGACGUUAAUGGGUAAAGAAGCACCGGCUAACUACGUG
rnacentral:rRNA from 1 species